CCCUUAGAUGUUCUGGGCCGCACGCGCGCUACACUGAUGCAUUCAACGAGCCUAUCCUUGACCGACAGGUCCGGGUAAUCUUUGAAUCUGCAUCGUGACGGGGAUAGAUUAUUGCAAUUAUUAAUCUUCAACGAGGAAUGCCUAGUAGGCGCAAGUCAUCAGCUUGCGUCGAUUACGUCCCUGCCCUUUGUACACACCGCCCGUCGCUCCUACCGAUUGAAUGUUUCGGUGAAGAUUCCGGAUAGGACUUUUUUGAUUUAUUUCAAUUUUGUCUUAAAAGCUAUCUAAACCUCAACAUUUAGAGGAAGGUGAAGUCGUAACA
rnacentral:rRNA from 1 species